GCUGGGCGUGGUGGCUCACGCCUGUAAUCCAGCACUUUGGGAGGCCGAGGUGGGCGGAUCACCUGAGGUCAGGAGUUUGAGACCAGCCUGACCAACAUGGUGAAACCCCAUCUCUA
rnacentral:SRP_RNA from 1 species